rnacentral:tRNA from 1 species
GGGAAUGUGGCUUAGUGGUAGAGUGCUUGCCUCUAGCAUGCAUGAAGCCAUAGGUUCGAUUCCUCAGUACCA